AGCUUUGCGCAGUGGCAGUAUUGUAGCCAAUGAGGUUUACCCGAGGUGCGAUUAUUGAUAAUUGAAAACUUUUCUAAUAGAAUUUUCCCAAGGCCCUGCCCUGGGAAAAUCCCUCCCAGAGUCCUGG
rnacentral:snRNA from 1 species